UACGGAGGACCAAGCGUUAUCCGGAAUCAUUGGGUUUAAAGGGUCCGUAGGCGGUUUGGUAAGUCAGUGGUGAAAGCCCAUCGCUCAACGGUGGAACGGCCAUUGAUACUGCCAGACUUGAAUUAUUAGGAAGUAACUAGAAUAUGUAGUGUAGCGGUGAAAUGCUUAGAGAUUACAUGGAAUACCAAUUGCGAAGGCAGGUUACUACUAAUGGAUUGACGCUGAUGGACGAAAGCGUGGGUAGCGAACAGG
rnacentral:rRNA from 1 species